UAAACUGGAGGAAGGUGGGGAUGACGUCAAGUCAUCAUGGCCCUUACGACCAGGGCUACACACGUGCUACAAUGGCGCAUACAAAGAGAAGCGACCUCGCGAGAGCAAGCGGACCUCAUAAAGUGCGUCGUAGUCCGGAUUGGAGUCUGCAACUCGACUCCAUGAAGUCGGAAUCGCUAGUAAUCGUGGAUCAGAAUGCCACGGUGAAUACGUUCCCGGGCCUUGUACACACCGCCCGUCACACCAUGGGAGUGGGUUGCAAAAGAAGUAGGUAGCUUAACCUUCGGGAGGGCGCUUACCACUUUGUGAUUCAUGACUGGGGUGAAGUCGUAACAAGGUAACCGUAGGGGAACCUGCGGUUGGAUCACCUCCUUACCUGAAAGAA
rnacentral:rRNA from 1 species